CAGACAUGGGAGAGACACGCAAGCUGCAAAGGGAAGCAGAGUCAAAUUAAAGCCUCCCAACCACGGCUCGUGGUGCUGCGGAUGGGGCGUCCCUCCCUCCCUCCCUCGGCUUGAUGAAGGUGGGUGUGAGAUCCCACAGGACUGUCUGGAAGAGAGCCCGUGGAAGUCACUGUAUUUUGCAGAAGCUGGAGGCGAAGCAGAAGGUUGCAGCCUGACACUUCUGCCUCUUUUCCCUCUGGGUAUAUCUUACUGGGUCUUUGCAGGUCAUGGCUGGACUGUUGGAAGUGUCUGUCCACUGCAAGAAAUUUGAAGUAACAAAAUGGCCUCCUUAAUCAGGAAUCAGUUUCCAUCACAUUCUUGGGAGCUAAGCACCCAGUUUUAGUCUCCAGACUGCUGAGCUCCUCAACAGAUCUUCAUGACUGCCUGGCU
rnacentral:lncRNA from 1 species